UCCAUCUCUACGAGUCUGUUCUUUUUUCUAUUACAUACAAAGUAUUGCCAUUCUUCAUUGUUGCAUCAGUAUGAUGAUUUUUUGAUUGACUGGUUGAUGUCUACAACAUCUAAAUUCUAACAGAGUUUUUUACCCAGUCUUUGUAAAUCUACUCUUCUGAUUCGUUAAAAAAAUAAAGAUUGAGGAAUUUAGUGAUGUAAGUAGGGGUUUCAUAAUCCAAUCGCAAACUAGGUGUUUAUGAAAAUCACUUACGUUUGAUUGUUAUUUGCCAAUAUUUGUUGAAAUUCAAUAAUGUGAAAACAAGGUGUUUGAAGAAAUGCCAAGCCUAACAAAUAAUGUAGUACACAUUUAGUUAUUUGGCAAUUAAAUAUAGGAAGGUUUGGUCCCAUUUCCUCCAUUGACUCUGAUAAUUUCCAUUCAAAAAACUCUCUUCAUCUUCCUCUAGUUCUCUAUUCUUCUAGAUUUUUCUGUUUUAAACCAUGAAGUCAAUAUUGAGAAUCUUUUGUCUUUGAGUUGCAGAGUGUAGUUGAGCUUGUUCUAUCUACGGCUAAUCCACCAUUCAUCAUCAACUUCAUGACUUGAAUUAAGAAGUUGCCAUGGCGAAUUGCAUCUUAAACUGCCAGUGGUCAACAAUUAUAGAGUGAACUGAUCAGGGUGAAAACUAGAUGAGCCAUUCCUGGUUAUGGGUGUGUUUUAAUUCCACAUUGCAAAGAGAUUUUCUUGUAACUAAAGGUACAACAGGGAAAUGAGCUAUACCUAGGUACUAUAAAUUAUGACAGGUACUAUAAAAUAAAUUGGGUAACUGGAUAACACGGUCUUAUAAAUUUAAAUGAGUACGUUAUUUUUGAAGGUACUAUAAAUUAUGACGGGUAACUCGGCUUGAUGGCAGUAUAAAUUUGAACUAGGUGCCCGUAUCAGUCUGAAGAAUAAUUUUUUUCGGGUACAUUGUUGUAAGUUCCAAUGGAAUUGGUUUGUGCUUCAUGUAUAUUUGUGCAACACGAUUGAUGGAUGAGUAAUAAACUAUAAUACAUAAAGUUCUAGACAGAGAUCCAGAAGUCGUUUCAAUCAAAGACAAGAAGGGCACUGCACUUCAUAUGGCUGUAAAAGGUCAGGAUCCGUCUAUAGUAGAAGAAUUAUUGAUUGUCGAUCUCUCUAUAUUGAAUGCACGUGAUAAGGGAAAUACUGUUGUUCAUAUGGCUAUUAGGAAAUGUCGACCACAGAUGGUGUGCCUUCUACUUAGUUAUUAUCUGUUGAUGUCAAUGCCAUCAAUAAUCAAAAGGAAACUGCAAUGGAUUUAGCAGAAAAACUUCAACAUGGAGAAUCUGCAUUUGAAAUCAAGGAAGCUCUAACAGAAGCUGGUGUCAAGCAUGCAAGAAAUGUUGUUGUUCUCUUUGCUUCCAUUGCUUUCAUGGCUAUAUUCAAUUUUCCAGGACAAUAUUUUCAGGUUGGGCCAGACGCUAGAAGCCAACAUUGCAGAUAAUUUGGGGUUCAGGUUAUUCUAUCUUUUGAAUGCUACUUCACUCACUGACAGUUGUGGUGGUCCAAAUCACUUUGGUCGCAUGGGAUACUAGGGAUCAAAAACAAGUUGUUUCAGUUGUUAACAAACUAAUAUGCGCAGCUUGUGUAAGUACCUGUGGUGUAUUCAUCUCACCAUCUUUUGUUGUUGUGGGAAGGGGAGGAUCAUGGAUGGCAAUUAUUAUAACUGUAGUUGGAGUUCCCAUCCUUGUUGGAACUCUCAACCUAUUUAACCUAAACUAACCCGGAGUAGUUACACUAA